GAGAGAAGGAGGACACAGACAGAGGCAUGAAGAUGGGUAGAAGGCUCCCAGGCCUCCAGAGUCUUCCAGUGAAUGAAGAAGUUGAGUCACAGAAAAUUCAAGUGGAUUGCCUGGUAUGUCUCACAGCUGGGAAAGGGAAAGAACUAGAAUAUUAACUCUAAUACUUGUUUUGUACCGCUCCAGAAAGCAGAAUCAACACCAAAUGUAUGUCAACUACUGGGAGGCAGACCUCAGCUCAACAAAAGUAAAAACUACUCUGAAUAAAACUGUCUGAAA